CCUACGGGUGGCUGCAGUGAGGAAUAUUGGUCAAUGGGCGCGAGCCUGAACCAGCCAAGUCGCGUGAGGGAAGACGGCCCUACGGGUUGUAAACCUCUUUUGCCGGGGAGCAACGGGCGCCACGUGUGGCGCCACCGAGAGUACCCGGAGAAAAAGCAUCGGCUAAAUCCGUGCCAGCAGCCGCGGUAAUACGGGGGAUGCGAGCGUUAUCCGGAUUUAUUGGGUUUAAAGGGUGCGUGGGCGGGCCGUAAGGUCAGUGGUAAAAGUGAGGGGCUCAACCCCUUCCCGCCAUUGAAACUGGCGCUCUUGAGUGGAAGAGAAGUAUGCGGAAUGCGUGGUGUAGCGGUGAAAUGCAUAGAUAUCACGCAGAACCCCGAUUGCGAAGGCAGCAUGCCGGCUUCCGACUGACGCUGAAGCACGAAAGCGUGGGGAUCGAACAGGAUUAGAUACCCGGGUAGUC
rnacentral:rRNA from 1 species